rnacentral:tRNA from 1 species
AUAAAAUGGCUGAAUAAUAAGCGAUAAAUUGUAAAUUUAUUUAUGAGAAUGAUCUCUUUUAUUAA